rnacentral:lncRNA from 1 species
CUCAAGCAAUAAAAAUAAACUUGUUUUAAGUUGAUGCAUACAAAUGUGCUUUAACAAUUAUGCUUUACAAUGCUUAUAAUGACAUGAUCCGUUUUUAGUAACCGUAACAUCGGAGAUGUUACAAAGCACCUCGCUUACACCUAUACUACAACUCUCACCUAUAGCGUCCUAUAGAUUAGAAUACUCAAAAGAGUUGUGAACCAGAACAUACAUAAUUAGUAAUUGCAUAAUGAAUUAGAAGUAGAUUACCAGAGUCUUCCCAUGAGCAAGCUUGAUUAGAGCUUGAUCAUGACGAAGUACAACCGGAUGAAGAACCGAUAGGCCGGCCUCUCCUCUAAUCCUCCUUCGCUCACCAUCUUGCUACUAUCUAGAUCUACUUUAGUUUAGAGAAGAAAGGAGAGCUCUCAUCUCUAAACCCUAGCUUUUGCUCUGUCUAUGAAUAAUGAAUAAUGAUCAAGGGGUGCCUCCUCCAGGGGCCAGGGGGUCUGGUUAUAUAGUCCCCUCAAGUGAACAUGGGCCGUCGGAUCAAACCGACAUUGAUUGAACGGUUAUUCUUGAUCCUUUAGGUCGGUGGAGAUCUCCCGAGAGAAAGAGUCCUAAUUGGGCUCCAAGUCAGGGCGGGCGCCCUGCCUGUGGCCCCGUUCGGCCUCCGCUUCCUUCCCGUGGCUUCUGGAGUCUUCUAGAUGUAAGAUAAUUGCGCGACACGUUAAUAUCUCUAUGUAAUCCGCGACACGUUAAUAUCUCUAUGUAAUCCCGACGUGUGGGUCCUGAUAACCCCCUCCAGAAAUAGACAAACACCAAAACUCAUGGAAUUCUGUCACAUAAAACCCUAAGUCUAGAUGUUGAUUUCAUUUGGAUCCUUUUCUUUGUUUAUUUGAUAAAUAAAUUUGAUACUUAAGGACCGUCAACAAACUCCCCCAAGCUUACCUCUUGCUGGUCCCUGAGCAAGGAUAUACUCAGCAAUGGAUCAGAAGUUAUUGCAAUAUCUUAAAAAUUUGAUGGUACACAUGCUUUUAAAUAAAAUCUCAUCUCUGAGUUAGAGUAAACUGUCAAGAACUACAACUUACUUACUUUACCUUUCACCAUGGGACUUGUAACCGUCACUUCUGUCUUGAGUAGUUAAAAGAUAGAACAGUCUAGCCAAGUGCCAUGUCUCUUAUUCUUGAUCAGCUAUAGCUAUGGAGUUUUUGCAGAUUUUCAAAUAAAACUCAGAGAUUCCUUGUAUGACUCUCUAAAUCUCUCUUUUGUGGUAUUUCUGGAUCCUUACCAAGGCAGUGAUGGUAUAUGCCUUCUCUCAAGAUAUGUGGUAUUUGUGGUAUAAGGCAUGGUGACAUUGCCUUCUCUCUCACCCUACUCUAAUAAGGCUUUAAUAUCUGGAGUUCAUAGGUGGGAGAUAAAGUAUACAUACUUACAAGACAUUUUUUGUAUAGUCAAACCAUGGAUCCAAAGAAACAAAUCAAUAAACCAAAUCAAGAUGUGCAUGUGUGGUGAAUGAAUGGUGUAUGGUGAUGAUGGUGAUAACAAUGGUGAAAGUAUAAUUCUACUUUUGCUCUUUUGAGGGGAUACAUACCUCCCUUGCUUUUUGAAACUUUAUGAGGAGAAUGAGAUACUCUUCUUUUUCUUUCCUCUCAGGUGGGUAUCUUGUACCCCUAAUUCUACUGUCGGACACUUGUCCAUUUUUACUUCUCGUCUCACAUUUUCUUUCUUUCGAGGUUCCGGGCACUUGCCCCUUUUUAUUUCCUCGUUUAUUAUUUUUUUUCUUUUUUUUUCUUUUUUUUUCAGAGCACUCAUCUCUUGAGAUAAUAUAGCAAGUGGUAGUAGCAAGAUAACUUGAGCAUUUAUUUCACAAGGAAAAAUAGAAAUAUUUUUUGUUAUUCUCUCCCUGAUUAGGAGUAGAAUAUUUUUGGGUGGUCCUGGAGAUGGAAAUGAGUGGAUAUAUGUGGAUGGUACUUCCGGAGUAGAAGUAGCAUAUAUGAGUGAAUGUGCAAGUGAAAUCUUGAUUUAACCACAUGACAAGCUCCUAAGGGUCUACAUAGCUUGACCACACUAAAUGCUCAUAAGCAGUAAAUAGUAAAUGUGUGGCUCAAAGUCUAGCAAGCAUGUAUAUAUGGCUGUGGUAGGAAUUUAAACUUUCAUCAUACAGGAACUCAUCAUGCAAUAUUUUAAAGAUUUUUCAAAGAUAAAAUUCUCCAGAAUUCUAGCAUCUCUACGAACAGAUAAACAGCAGCUCAACCUUCCCAUAUCAUAUCCGUUAGCAACUUAGAUUUCAGAUCAAGGUUUCAUCCCAUAAGUUUAGAUCUAGAGCAAGCUUUAAAUUAUAAUAGUUAUGUCUAAACUUGACAGAGAACUUCAAAUUUGCAAAUUAGGCAGAGCAACUAUUCAUCAUAUCCAUGCUAGAGUUUUAUUAUUAAGAUUCAGAUUAGCAUAGCCACUUUAUUUAUUUAUUAAACACACUAAGCAAAAGAUAUAUAUAUAAGCAUGAAAUCUUUAUUUGGUUUUUUAUAGUUUAUGUAUUUUAAUAUUCUAAUAUAAUAUAAGUAUAAAGAUAGGUAGAAAUACUUAGCGAGAUAAAUGGGGGUGCUCUCCUCCAAGCUGAAUUUUGACGUAAUUUCUCUUGAUGUAUCUAGCAGGUGGCAGAGGUGUAUUUGAAAGUCAGCAGCAUUCUGACAGCGAUUAGAAUGUCCUCCGUCUGCUAGUCUUCUUGAUUCUUAAAUUCUGUGGAGCUCCAAUAGACAACAAAGCUUGUGGAACUAAUUAAGUGUUAGCAUAAAUAUCUAGCCUUCAUCAUGUUGAGCUUCCUCAAUAAAUAUUACUCCCUGUUUUUAUAUUUUUAUUUAUAAAGCAGAAAAGAAAUAUUUAUUUUAUUUUUAUGCCACCACAGUGAAGGUACUUAUGGGUUUUAUGCCACUCGUAUACUCACAUGGGGCUUAGUAUUUUUUUAACAUUUUUAUUUUCUUUUCAAGAUAGCAUGAUUAACUAAUAAUCUAUUUAAGGAAAGUAAAUAAUUAAAGGGAAAAGGGAAUGCAGAAAGGAUAAAUAUGGAUAACUACUGAUCUUACCUUUCGGCGAGGGUUCAAUGUUUUAAGUCUUCUUAACAAGACUUCUCACCGUGUUCAUUCUUCAAGUGCGUCAUUUGAUUCAGGUGCGGACCUUGACGUCUGCACCUCUUGAUACGGUGUCACCCAUGUUCUUCGUUUGUCCAGGAGUUCGAAGUGCGGCGUUGGCAGUAACCUGCUCAGUGUGUUUGUGCUCGUAGAUCCAAGUCCUUCACUUGGUAGAGUCUGAUAGUUAUAAAACUCCUCCGUGUUUUACUCAAAGUGUACCUGCUCAUAGAGACAAGGCAGAGAUCAAGUGCAUGGGUCCUAUUGGUGGAAAACACCAACAGAACCUAAAGUGUAUUUGUUCUUCUAUAACCCUAAGCAUAGUGAGCAAGACAAAGUUGAUGGAUGAAAAGUUCAUGAGUGUAGCACUUAUAACAUUUGUCAGAUCAGAUCGCUCAACCUUAUGGAAAGAUAAUCUAUCUAUGUAUAUGUCUUUUUCUUUAUGUCUCUCAAUGAUUGAAUGUGUAACAUUUUAGAUCAUAUGAUUAGGAGUGUGGGAUCACAGAGGUAGUACUAAGAACAAGGAUUAAAGGACUAAACAUGUUGAAUCAGUUGGGUUGGUUAAUCUAGAGUUGUAAAUCAUACAUGUUUGUCUCUUUUAUUUAUAUGAACGCCAGAACCAAGGAGAAGCUUAUAAAAGUGAUAGUCAAGUUCUUUAAGAUGUUACCUUGCUUGAAGAGUGAUGGUACAGUAUCACCUUGUGGAAGCUUUCCUUUCUUAGCGGUUGUGCAUCGUGUUUGUGGCACCCUCCAUGGAUCAUCUCUCUAUGAUGAAUGAGCUAUGUCCUUCUUGUGUAAAUUGUUAAACUUCAUGUGUCACUCUCUUCGUCUCUGAUGUGAGUUUAUCUCAGGACUUCCCAAAUCGAUAUUGAAAGUUUUUCUGCAGGGGUUAGUCCGACAAAAAUAUACCAAUGUCUACACAAGCAGUUUUUAGUUCAAUAACCGAACUAGACUCCAUGUCUAAUCAGAUUAAGGAAGGCUGUUUAACCUAAGCACCAUGCUUAAUUUAAAAGCCAAUAGAAGUAUGUGCAGUACUUCCAAACUAACACUUACUAGUAAAUAGACAAAGGUAGCAUGACAGCAUUUAUAGAGAUCUACUCAAGUGGAGAUAAAGUAGUGUGAUUAGUAUUUAACAAAUUGAGCAUGUCUUAAAGGUAGGGACAACCAACAUAGCAACAUGGCAAAGGAUGUUUUUAUGUAAAGUACUCCCCCAAGCUUGAAUUUUGCAGAAUUCAAGUUUGGAUGAAUUUAAUUUAAUGUUGUAUGAUGAUUGGUUGGACAUACCUUGUGCUUGUCAUUCAUCCGAUCUUCUUGCUCCAAUCCUAUAAAGGUUAGUGACCAGAAUACCCGAAGGAAUAUUUUUACAAUUAUCCUUAUAUGCUCAAUACACAAGGUAAUGUUGCAAAUAAUUAAAAACUCAUGUUACGAUCUGAUCAGUGCUUAUUUUAGGAGACUAUGCUUGUCCUUGGGAAACCAUCAAUUUAUGUCGGCGAAGUGGUUUCCCUUCCAACGCUGACCUAAAGCAAGAUCAACUCAACGAGAUCUGCAAUAUUUAUUAUAGACAUAUGCAUCGACAGCCGCCCUUUUAAAGUUUUUAUAAAUAGAAAGGAAGAGGGGGUUGGAGAUCUCAAAUGUGGUGAUGUUGGAGAGACCAAUAGAUUGGGAAGAUGUUGCAUAUGAGCAUGGAGUAAACAAAGUGGCUAUGAAAUAAAUUUCAUGCUCAUUAAUGUUAUCUUCGUCUCCAAUCUGAAUGUUCACAGUUCCUCUUGGAUUGGUCUCACUUAUGUCCUCUUCUAUAGUUGGAUGAAUCCCAUCUUCAAAGGGAGUCAAGAACUCACCAUUUGAAAUUGAACCAAAGUCAGAAUUCAUUAAGGCUUCUUCCUUAUCCAUCCAUUCUACACAUUCUAGCCAUUUAGAACUUGUGAUCAGGAAAGGGGAGGUGUUAGAAUUUUCAAUAUGGCUUAGCUCUCCUUUACUUGAUGUGUCAUCCUCGACUUCUUCAUAACAGGAACCAGGACAUUCUCUAAGAGAACCAUUAUUGUGAGGAUUUGAAUUAUCCCUGCUUGAAGGUCUCUUAUGGAACUAGAAGUCUAAACCAUCAGCAUCUGAAAGAUUUAAGGUCGGAAUUCCUUCCUCCCUUGGAGAAUUUUGGGAUAUUGAUGGUUUAGGAUCGAUAGCUAAAGUUUGGAAUUGAAGUGGUUGUGAUCUGGCUAUCGAAACUUCUUCUUCUUGUCUAGAAACUGGUUCUUUCUCUUUCUCAGGGAUAUAAAUGCUAGGAAACUUUCCACUCAAUGAAUCAAUUAAAUCCCUAGCUUCACUAGCAGGUAGGUGAUAGAAGGAUCCUCUAGAGGCUGUAUUCAAGGUUUACUUAUUUUCCCUACUAAGGCCCUCAAAAAAGUGAAUUAGAAGAACUUCUUCUAGAAUAUAAAGCUUUGGGCCAGUGAGAGUAAGGUUAAUAAAGCGGUCCCAUGAUUUCCUAAGAGAUUCUUCUUCCAGUUAUCUGAAAGAAAUAAUCUCACGCCGAAGUUCUGCCACUUUAGAGAUUGGAAAAUAUUUUAAAGGAAAACUAUUAUGUAACUCCUUCCAAUCUCCAUGAACACUCCCUACUUUUAGUUUGUACCAAUGUCUAGCUUUUCCCGUUAAAGAGAACGGAAAGAGCUUCCAUUUAAGGGUCUCAUCGGACAUUCCUUCUAUACGAAGGAGGUCACAGACUCGAUAAAACUCUCUUAGGUGUGUGUAUGGGUUUUCCUCACCUUCUCCUGAGAAAGGUUGUUUUUGAACAAAUUCUAUGUAUUCGGGGUCUAUCUCAAAACUAGAGGCUAUGAUAGGCUUUGAAGAUUUCGGUGGUUCGAGAUGUGUGCCCGUAGGUCUAUGAAAUUCAUAGAUAGACAUGUUUGAAUUCAUGAUAGACCAGAGAUCAAGGAUUAGAUAAGAAGAAAGAAUAGCAGAGAUGAGGCAAAGGAUAAAAGGAAAAUAUAUAUAUAUUUUUAUUUUUUUAGAAAAUGAUUAAGCUAGUUCGUAGUCAACUCAGCAACCGUUUCCCCGGCAACGGCGCCAAAAAUGCUUGUUGACACUUGCUAACACCACUUGAAUACAAGGUUGUCAUCCCCAGCAUGGCACUAGAGUGUACUAUGGUAUUUAUACGCACACAGAUAAUCCGCAAGCGCACGGAUACCGUUGAAGCUUUUACCCGUUUAAAGGUUUUAUCGUAUCCGCAGGGAAACAGAAGAACCAAAUACGCUCUAACUUAACCAAGAUAAAUAGAUAAGUGUAAAUAGGAAAGAUGGUAGUAUUUUAGAACAAUAUUAAAGGUAAGAUAACAAUGAGUGAUAAUAUGGGAAUAGAGAGUAGAGCAAUUCUAGUAUAUGGGCGAAAGGUAACAGAAUAGAGAGGGUAACUAUGGUUUCUCUACUUCAAAGGGGUAUGUCUAUGUCUGGGACGAACCACGUGAUAAGAGUACACCACAAAGGAUGCUUAUCCUUAGGCCGAUAAACCCUACCCAUCCUGCUAACGAGAGGUGGACUACAGAGGACCAACGUAACUGUCACCUACGCGGCCUACCACACGAUCCAGCUAGACAGGUGAUAUCCACAAGUAAUCUAGAUCUAAGCACCUCACUUACACCUAUACUACAACUCUCACCUAUAGCGUCCUAUAGAUUAGAAUACUCAAAAGAGUUGUGAACCAGAACAUACAUAAUUAGUAAUUGCAUAAUGAAUUAGAAGUAGAUUACUAGAGUCAUCCCAUGAGCAAGCUUGAUUAGAGCUUGAUCAUGACGAAGUACAACCGGAGGAAGAACUGAUAGGCUGGCCUCUCCUCUAAUCCUCCUUCGCUCUCCAUCUUGCUACUAUCUAGAUCUACUCUAGUUUAGAGAAGAGAGGAGAGCUCUCAUCUCUAAACCCUAGUUUUUGCUCUGUCUAUGAAUAAUGAAUAAUGAUCAAGGAGUGCCUCCUCCAGGGGCCAGGCGGUCUGGUUAUAUAGUCCCCUCAAGUGAACGUGGGCCGUCGGAUCAAACCGACAUUGAUUGAACGGUUAUUCUUGAUCCUUUAGGUUGGUGGAGAUCUCCCGAGAGAAAGAGUCCUGAUUGGGCUCCAAGUCAGGGCGGGCGCCCAGGGCAGGAGGGCGGGCGCCCUGCCUCUGGCCCCGUUUGGCCUCCGCUUCCUUCCCAUAGCUUCUGGAGUCUUCUAGAUGUAAGAUAAUUGCGUGGCACGUUAAUAUCUCUAUGUAAUCCCGACUUGUGGGCCUUUCUUCCAUAUUUUCUGAUAACCCCCUUCAGAAAUAGACAAACACCAAAACUCAUGGAAUUCUGUCAGAUAAAACCCUAAGUCUUGAUGUUGAUUUCAUUUGGAUCCUUUUAUUUGUUUAUUUGAUAAUUAAAUUUGAUACUUAAGGACCGUCAACACUACCGAUCUAGGGAAGUGUUUUAGGGUGCUAUGUCAUGCACGCAUAUCCAGUGUGCCUGGGAAAAGUACCACAUGUGGGGGUGAUUCCGUCCUGAGAGGUGAUGCCGUCAUUAGGGCGAUGAUGUGGGUAGUGGCAUGUCACAUGCAUAGGUGCGGUACCUGUGUGUUGGGUGCUUAGUUUUAAAAUUUUUGUUCUGCAUGUUCAUACUGUGGUUGGACUGAAAUGAGUUUUCUGCAGGUACGCUAACCACGUUCUCGCAUAGAACGCUAGUCACGCUAUGAGGGAACAUUGUGUGCCACCGCAUAUACCGUUUAGUAUUGACUUUUGUUUCUAAGUUUGUGAGAUCGUAAGUUUCGUGCAUGCAUCAUGUUCAUUCCAUAUGAUUACUUAAUUCCUCCCCUUAUUCAAAUCUGUCACAAUUUCAAUUAAAAUGAUAGAAGAUAAUCCUCAGUCUUACCCAAGGUAUUCUCUUUUUAGCAGAUGUCUUGCACUAGGCUCACCGCUCGCAAGUCCACUAGUGGCUGGGCCCCUCGCCAUCAGUUGGCAACUAGGAGCUCGUGCAACAAGAGCAAGUUCCUAGGAGAGUUUGGGAUGCCUACCUUGGUGUGGAGGGUGCUCAGUUUGAUACGGUAUCCUAAAGGAAGGGAACCUCGCUACUAUUGGAAGCGAGAGUAGCUUGGUGAAGGGAUCCUAGGUAGUGAUUCCUACCAGUGGCAGUGACCCUUCCUGGGGUGGCUAGGUGUAUGAGUCCCGAGACAACAUGCUUUUCCAGCGUGCCAGCAGGGCUGCUUUUGCAGUUCUGAGGGACAUCAUGGAGAGGUUUCCACAAGAGCUAGCCCACGCCUUCAUUGGGGUGUUUCUCCGGGGUGACCCCUACACUGUGGUGUGGGAUCAGUCCGAGGGCAGUGCUCUAGAGCAGAGUGCUGAUGAGGAUCAGCACAGUGACAGUGUAGGGGUCCCCGUCGCUGUACUAUAUCUCACAGGUGACCUAUAUCUCGUAGGUGACCUAUAUCUCGUAGGUGACAGCUAACAUUCAGGUUUCCUGUCACCUGCGAGAUAUAGGUGGAUACCUGAAUGUUAGUUGUCAAUGAUAUGGUGAAAAGUAACCAAGUGUGGGAAGGAAACUGAGACCGGGCAGGGCCUUAUGGGGGUGUUGACCAUAGUGCCCCUGCCUAUUGUUGAUAUUUGAUAACGCAAUAAGGAAAUGAUCCGCAAGCGCACGGAUAUCGGUGAGCAUUUCACCCGGGAGGUUUUCUAGAGUAUCGUAUUUAUAUUUUUACCACUGGGAGAAAGGGUGCAUCUGACAAACCAAAUCUAUUGCUACUAUCCCUUUAGGCUACAAAGAAUGUUUCUCGAUGUGAGCGAUGUAUAGAGAAGACUGCAACCGUAGUCUCGUUCUAACCUUGACAAGGAUGAUCUACUGUUCUAUUGGGGAGGCUCACAUAAUCUAGACACCACAAAGGAUGUUCGACCCGCACCUAUAAACCUACCCGUCCUGCUAACGAGAUGUGGGCUGCAAAGGUAACUCGGAAAUGUCACGUUCCUCGCUACUACCACGGUCCAGCUAGUCAGGGGAUAUCUAUGAGUACCCUAGCCUAAACACCACGUUUACGCUAGCAAUGAUUACUCUAAUACUCAACCUAAAGAGAUUAAAGUAAACUCAUAAACCAAAGAACAAUAAAGCAAGAACUUACUAGAAUUAGAAGUCGAAUUACUGAAGAAUCCUAGGAGCAAGCCUCGGGUUAGAAGACUUGAUCCCGUAGGUACAACCUCAGAGUAGACACCGACAGGCCAGGCUUCCUCCGAUCUACACCUCCACUCUAUCUCUCUCAAUCUAGUAGAAAAACUAGAAGAUCUAAUUCUACUCACAUUGGAUGCUAAGCCUAAAAAGAAAUUUUAUUUAGUGGAGAGAUAUUCCUUUGAGGGCUCCUCUCAACUCUAUGAAAAACUUAUUCUGUUCCAGGGGCCAGGGGGUCUGCUUAUAUAGUCCCCUCCUUUUGUGCCUUUUUGGUUCAGCAGGCGAUGUGGUACUAAACUUUCCACCAUAUCUCAUUAAAAUGCACAUAGGCCUUAAUGGACCAAAAUCUAAUUUGGGCCCAAUUAAUCUCGCACCUCUUUUACGUAGAGUCCUUCUUUUAUUAAUAUCUCUUGAAUCCGAACUCCAAAUAUAGCAAAUAAUAUAUGCAUUUCGAUCAGCUCGAUGAGAUCUUUGUGAUGGUGUACUCCAUUAUGUGAUUAGUACUUGUACCAGGGCGGGCGCCCAAGGGGGGAGGGUGGGCGCCCUGCCCCCGGGCCCGUUCGGCCUCCCGUUCGUUCAGGUGGCUUCUGGAGUCUUCUAGAUGAUAAAAAAUUGUACGGCACGUUAAUAUCUAUAUGUAAACCCGACGUGUGGGCCUUUCCUUCAUAUUUCCUGAUAACCCCCUGUAGAAAUAGACAAACACCAAAACUCAUGGAAUUCUGUCAGAUAAAACCCUACGUCUAGGUGUUGGUUGCAUUUGGAUCCUUUUCUUUAUUUAUUUGAUGAUUAUAUUUGGUACUUAAGGACCGUCAACAACUCCCCCAAGCUUACCUCUUGCUCGUCUCUGAGCAAAGAUGAACUCAAGAGUUUCUGCAGUGGUUUCAUGCCUUAAAAGUACACAUGCAUUCAAGCAAGAUCUCAUCUCUGAGUUAGAAUAAACUGUUAGGACUUAAAACUUACUCAUUUUACCUUUCACCAUGGGGCUUGUAACCGUCACUUGUGUCUUGAGCAGUUAAAAGAUAGAACGGUCAAGUCAAGCGCCAUGUCUCUUAUUCUUGAUCAGCUAUAGCUCUGGAGUUUUUGCAGAUUUUCAAAUAAAACACAAAGAUUCCUUAUAUGACUCUCUCAAAUCUCUCUUUUGUGGUAUUUCUAGAUCCUUUCCAAGGCACUAAUAUUAUAUGCCUUCUCUCAAAGUAUGUAGUAUUUUUGGUAUGAGGCAUAGUGAUAUUGCCUUCUCUCUCAUCCUACUCUAAUAAGGUAUUGAUAUCUGGAGCUCAUAGGUGGGAGACAGAUAAUGCAUACUUACAAGACAUUUAUUGCAUAGUCAAACUAUGGAUCCAGAAGAACAAAUCAAUAAGUCAAAUCAAGAUGUGCAUAUGUGGCGAGUGAAUGGUGUAUGGUGAUGAUGGUGAUAACAAUGGUGAAAGUCUAAUUCUACUUUUGCUCUUUUAAGGGGAUACAUACCUUUCUUGCACUUUGAAGCUUUUUGAGGAGAAUGAGAUGCUCUAUAUUUUUUUCUUUUCUCUCAGGUGGGUAUCUUGUGCCCCUAAUUCUACUGUCGGACACUUGUCCAUUUUUACCUCUCGUCUCACUUUUUCUUUUCUUUCGAGGUUCCGGGCACUUGCCCCUUUUUAUUUCCUCGUAUUUUUUUUCUCUCUUUUUUUUCUCUUCUUUUUUUUAGAGCACUCAUCUCCUGAAAUAAUGUUGCAAGUGGUAGUAACCAAAAUAACUGGAGCAUUUAUUUCACAGGGAUAGGAAAAUAUUUUUGGCUAUUCUCUCCCGGAUUAGGAGUAGAAUAAUUUUGGGUGAAUCUAGAGAUGGAAAUGAGUGGAUGUAUAUGGAUGCGUACUUUCGGAGUAGAAGCAGCAUGUAUGAGUGAACGUGCAAGUGAAUCUUGAUUUUAACCGCAUGACAAGCUCCUAAGGGUCUACACAGCUUGACCACACUCAAUGCUCAUAAGCAGUAAAAAGUAAAUGUGUGGCUCAAAGUCUAGCAAGCAUGUAUAUAUGGCUGUGUUAGGAAUUUAAACUCUCAUCAUACAGGAACUCAUUAUGUGUUAUUUUAAAGAUUUUCAAAGAUAAAAUUCUCCAGAAUUCUAGCAUCUCUAGGAACAGAUAAACAGCAGCUCAACUUUCCCAUAUCAUAUCCAUUAACAACUUAGACUUUAGAUCAAGUACUCUUCCCACAAGUUCAGGUUUAGAGCUGGUUUAAAUUAUAACAGUUAUGCCUAAACUUGAGAGAGAUUUUAGUUUUAAGAAGUAGUCAUGGCAGAGCAACUAUUCAUCAUUUCCAUGUGAGAGCUUAUCAUGAGGGUUCAUAGCAAACUUUAUCUAUUUAGCAAACUAAGCAAAGAUAUAUAUAAAAGCACAAAAUCUUUAUUUGGUUUUUUUUAUGAUUAUGCAUCUUUUUAUUAUUUGAGUAAAGUAUAAACGCGAGUAGAAACACUUAGCUGGAUAAAUGGGGGUGCUCUCCCUCAAGCUCGAUUUUGAUGUAAUUUCUUCUGAUGUAGCUAGCAGGUGACGGAGGUAUAUUUGAAUGUCGGCAGUACCCUGACAGCGAUUAGGAUGUCCUCCGUCUGCUAGUCUUCUUUGAUCCUUGAAUUCUGUGGAGCUCAAAUAGACAACAAAGCUUUGUGGAACUGGUUAAGUGUUAGCAUAAAUAUCUAGCCUUUAUCAUAUUGAGCUUCCUAAUAAAUUUUAUUUAGCAGGAUCAUGCACUUAUUAUUUUUAUAUUUUUAUUGUAAGAUGAAAACAUAUUUAUUUUAUGCCACCACGAUGAAUGUACCUAUGGGUUUUAUGCCAUGAGCAUACUCACAUGGGGCUUACUAUUUUUAACAUUUUUAUUUUCUUUUUAAGAUAGCAUGAACCUCAUUAACUAGGCAAAAUAAUUGAAGGGAAAAGGGUAACUACCAAGUUUACCUCUUGGCAAGUAUAAUACCCGAUUUUAAGGACAAAACCAGAUAUACACUAUAUAUGAGUUUUAGAAGUCAAUUCUCAUAUAUAGCUACAAAUAAGGGGUAAUAUCAAAAGACAAUGCAUAAAUAUAUAACGUACUUAGUAUAAAAGAGAUAACCUUUGAUAACAAACAGCGGAUAGACAACUCCAAACUUCGGGUAUUAACUUCUCUCUACAGGAUCCAACUGACUGGUUGAUCACAAGCCUAAACUCCUCCUGAGGUUUGGGGGAAAUAGCAGGAGUGAGUCCAUGUCGAACUCAACAAGUAUAGCAACUAGAUUGUAUAGCUCCCACAAUCUCAUGACCAAUGUGACAUAAAUAAUGUAAAGCAUUAAACAAUAAACAAUGAGCAUAUUUAACACACAAGAAUCAUCAUCGUCGCAGCAAGAAUCCCCAAGGCCGCUCCUGACCGUGAGCUCGGCUAGUAUACUAGUUUUUAACCCUCUGCAGAGGUUGCACAUCUUUACCCAUGAGUCAUGAUUUACCCUUUCGCCCGAGGUAGCUAAUCUCUUAACCCCCUUCCUAGGGAGGUCGGCAGGGAUCACUAUGAAGUCUUUCAAAGGUUCGUCUAACAAGUUAGGGCCGCUUGGUUUCAUUAGUCAGUCCGUGUGAUUC